AGUAGUACUAGCACAACUACAACAACAUGACUACUACAACUACUACUACUACUACCAGUCCAGAGGUGGGACCAAGUCGUUGUUUUGCAAGUCUCAAGAAGUGCUCUGACCUGGAAAUGGAAGAUGCCGGCGUAUCCAUUGCUGAAAUCCUGACCGUGUGGGACGACUCUGUGCAGCAGCUCAUCGUUCAAAGUGAGAGAGGCGAUAGCGGCCAGCAGCCAGCAGUCACCUGAGGACAAAGGACAUCGUAAACAUAAUUCACAUAGACAGCAAGGGAGAGGAGCUUAAAGUUAAAUGAAGAAAGAAGAAAAUGAAGAAGAAAAUGGAUGAGAUGUGUAAUAUGCCUGAGGAACUAUAACACCAAAAUGUUCUAUCAUGACUUUCUUAUUGUCAGUAAUAUUAAAUGUUUAGAUUAGAGGAAAAAAUUAACAAUACAAUACUUACAAAUCCAAUAUGGACAAUGACAACGUUAUUUUUUAUUUUAUUUACAUCUUUUAUGGGAGCGGUGGAAUAUUGUGUAUACAAAUUUUUACAAAAAAUUUAAAUCCAUGAUUUGUUGCAUGGCACUGUGAUAAUUGCUAUUGUGUUGCUGUGAGAAAUAUACAGAUAAACAGGUCCUAAAUUGUACAAAUCAUAGCAUGUACCAGCCUGUGUGGAAUUGCAGUUAGACUUUUUGAGUUUGAGUUGUGUCUCAGGUGUGUGUGGGCACAGUUUGAGAAUAAAAAAUAGACUAAAUAAUAAAAGACUUUGUUGUUGUAGACUUA